AUGCCUUAAACUUAUGAGUAAGGAAAAUAAUGAUUCGAGAUGAUGCCCGAAUCCCACUGCUAAUGUGAGACUAAUUUUUGAGCGGGUAAAGGUUGCCCUUGAGGUGACCCGCCUACUUUGCCGAUGCCUGGGAGUCAUGAUCUGCCUG
rnacentral:snRNA from 1 species